rnacentral:pre_miRNA from 1 species
AAAGUACUCCCUCCGUCCCAAAAUUCUUGUCUUAGAUUUGUCUAGAGACGGAUGUAUCAAGUCACAUUUUAGUAUUAGAUACAUCUGUAUCUAGACAAAUCUAAGACAAGAAAUUUGGGAUAGAGGGAGUAGUUG